rnacentral:rRNA from 1 species
UACGAAGGGGGCUAGCGUUGUUCGGAUUUACUGGGCGUAAAGCGCACGUAGGCGGAUUGUUAAGUCAGGGGUGAAAUCCUGGAGCUCAACUCCAGAACUGCCUUUGAUACUGGCAAUCUAGAGUCCGGAAGAGGUGAGUGGAACUCCUAGUGUAGAGGUGGAAUUCGUAGAUAUUGGGAAGAACACCGGUGGCGAAGGCGGCGACCUGGUCCUUUACUGACGCUGAGGCGCGAAAGCGUGGGGAGCAAACAGG